GAUGAACGCUGGCGGCGUGCCUAAUACAUGCAAGUCGAGCGAACAGACGAGGAGCUUGCUCCUCUGACGUUAGCGGCGGACGGGUGAGUAACACGUGGAUAACCUACCUAUAAGACUGGGAUAACUUCGGGAAACCGGAGCUAAUACCGGAUAAUAUAUUGAACCGCAUGGUUCAAUAGUGAAAGACGGUUUUGCUGUCACUUAUAGAUGGAUCCGCGCCGCAUUAGCUAGUUGGUAAGGUAACGGCUUACCAAGGCAACGAUGCGUAGCCGACCUGAGAGGGUGAUCGGCCACACUGGAACUGAGACACGGUCCAGACUCCUACGGGAGGCAGCAGUAGGGAAUCUUCCGCAAUGGUCGAAAGCCUGACGGAGCAACGCCGCGUGAGUGAUGAAGGUCUUCGGAUCGUAAAACUCUGUUAUUAGGGAAGAACAAAUGUGUAAGUAACUAUGCACGUCUUAACGGUACCUAAUCAGAAAGCCACGGCUAACUACGUG
rnacentral:rRNA from 1 species